ACAGAAAGGAAACAGAGGCUCAGAGAAGCUAAGACAUUUGCACAGGACCACAGCUGGGCUGAGAAGAAAAAUUGAAUACUGAUGAGAAAGAAGAUGGAUAGAAGAGCGAGACAUGCAACUGGGACUCUAACACAAAUGCCAUUCUCCCUGGGAAGGGACUAGCCCAGUCAGCAGCCACCUCACUCCAUGAGUUGGUUCUGAGGCCCCCUCUGUGCCAGGCAGCUCGGGACACAAGGUGAAUUAGAUCCAACCUCACAGCCAUGUGAGGCAGACAGAGUGACACAGACUCUGUCACCAGAAGAGCAAGCAUUUGAACGGGCUGUCAGAUGGAGAGCCCAAGCUCUUUCUGCUCUAGGUUCCCUCCCUCUGCUGCAGUUGGGAGAGGCUGGGCUGGGAAGCCCACAUGAGCUGUUGCAGCUCCCUGCAAGGGACUCUCACCUCCUCUCUCAGGCCUCCUCUCCUUGGGCUCCUGGCCUGGCCCUUCACACCUUUCUCCAACUCCAUCAUGACUGCAGACUUUGGCCUUCCCUCAGGAAAAGAACGAAUUUUUCUCCACAAAAUUCUACAAUCUCUUCCAGCCUCUCCUUUUAGCUACUGUCAUAUCCAUUCACCUAAGUGAUAACAGAAGACCACAAGUCAGAUGACUCAUAUAUUCACCUAUUCAAUAAACACUCCAGAGCAUU
rnacentral:lncRNA from 1 species